rnacentral:rRNA from 1 species
CGUGGGUAACCUGCCUUAUAGUGGGGGAUAGCCUUUCGAAAGGAAGAUUAAUACCGCAUAAGAUUGUAGUAUCGCAUGAUAUAGCAAUUAAAGGAGCAAUUCGCUAUAAGAUGGACCCGCGUCGCAUUAGCUAGUUGGUGAGGUAAUGGCUCACCAAGGCGACGAUCCCUAGCUGGUCUGAGAGGAUGACCAGCCACACUGGAACUGAGACACGGUCCAGACUCCUACGGGAGGCAGCAUG